CGUGAUUGAAUCUGAUUGACAACGCGAUGUGACAUUCCGUGACGACUGUAUAUAUAGCGUAGGUAUUGAAGAUUUCUUUCUUACAGAAGUAUCUUUUACAACGUUUGAACAAAGAAAGGAAUACGAGAAACAAUGGAUUCCAAAAUUAUUGCCGUCUUCUGCGCUUGUCUUUUGACAACAGGACUUGUAUUGUCAACGCCAGUCUAUCCUCGAUUUUCUUUGAAUCACUUCUCGCCAACAGAUAUUUGCCUAUUUAUGUGCAACAUAUGUUUUGAUAGCAUGGAUGCACAGAUGAUGGAUUGCGCCAACAAUAUAUGUAUGGCCGAACAAAAAUCUGAAAUGAGCUUUGGUCUCAUCAGGCUCGGCCAUUCAUGCAAGAACUACAAGAAACUCGAUGACUUCGUGUUCGGCAACGAAACAGAUUAAUACCACCGUCGAUACUGAAUAGAUGCAAACAUUGUAUAUAUUGCAUGGCAUGUCUUGUACAGUUUUGAAACAAAAAGGCCUUUUUGACAACUUAAAUCAACAAAAAUAUACAUAUUGCUAUUGAUUAGUUAAAUCAUUUUUUAAAUCAAUCAUUUUGAUACAUCUUAUAUUUUCUCAUAUCUGUAAGGUAACAUUGUUUGUCAUUUCUUUUGUUGGGGAAAAUACAAUAAUUGAUGAAAAUACAUUUUUCGAACACAA